rnacentral:rRNA from 1 species
GUGGGGAAUAUUGGACAAUGGGCGAAAGCCUGAUCCAGCCAUGCCGCGUGUGUGAAGAAGGUCUUCGGAUUGUAAAGCACUUUAAGUUGGGAGGAAGGGCAGUAAGUUAAUACCUUGCUGUUUUGACGUUACCGACAGAAUAAGCACCGGCUAACUUCGUGCCAGCAGCCGCGGUAAUACGAAGGGUGCAAGCGUUAAUCGGAAUUACUGGGCGUAAAGCGCGCGUAGGUGGUUUUGUAAGUUGGAGGUGAAAUCCCCGGGCUCAACCUAGGAACUGCCUCCAAAACUGCAUGACUAGAGUACGGUAGAGGGUAGUGGAAUUUCCUGUGUAGCGGUGAAAUGCGUAGAUAUAGGAAGGAACACCAGUGGCGAAGGCGACUACCUGGACUGAUACUGACACUGAGGUGCGAAAGCGUGGGGAGCAAACAGGAUUAGAUACCCUAGUAGUCC